rnacentral:rRNA from 1 species
UACGGAGGGGGUUAGCGUUGUUCGGAAUUACUGGGCGUAAAGCGCACGUAGGCGGAUUAUUAAGUGAGGGGUGAAAUCCCGGGGCUCAACCCCGGAACUGCCUCUCAUACUGGUAGUCUAGAGUUCGAGAGAGGUGAGUGGAAUUCCGAGUGUAGAGGUGAAAUUCGUAGAUAUUUGGAGGAACACCAAUGGCGAAGGCGGCUCACUGGCUCGAUACUGACGCUGAGGUGCGAAAGUGUGGGGAGCAAACAGG